AUCUUCAUCCACUUUUUAUCUUAAUAUACGCGUCCCUUCAGGCUUCCACCUUCCUCCACCUUGGUUGCUUCUUGUUCUGCUCGCUGAAGUUUACCGCUUUGCUUCUGCUUGAUGUCGCUUUUUCAAUUCAGGUAAAUUGUUGAAGAUGCAACAAAAACUGGACCAAGGAUAGUUUCAUCAUUUGGUUUCCUUUUGGGUUUUCGUGUGAUUUAAACACAGUAACAACUCACGC